GACUUAGAAGUCUUCCACUUCUUCCCACUCCUCCGGUUUAAGAACGAAAAGCCACUCACUGGACACAUUUUUGGCAACUCUCAAAACUCUAGUUAAACUAGUAGCAGAAAUGGAGGCGAGGCCGACUACAGGCUCUCCCAUGUGCCGGGUGUGGGGGCCAAAGUACCCUCCAUCUCGCAGUUAUUUCAGCUGUCCUGCCUGGUUCCGCACGCUCCACUAAGCAUGGCGACCAUUUGGCCUGGAAUAAUAGCUGCAGAUUCAAGACUUACAUUGAUUCAUUCUUUGCAAUGAGAGCCUUGCUUUUGAAUAAAGUAGAUUAAAAACUAAAGACGAAAAUAAAGUGUGAAAAUUUCCUCUAGAAUAGGGCACAUAUUCCAGCUGGACAAUAAUCUUUAGUGUCUUCAGUGACUAGUGAGUUAACUUUCUUCUCUUGCUCUGGGUCCCCUGGUGAGCUCAUCUCUUGCUCACAAAUCCAGUUAUCAAGAAUAAAUGGCAGACUGCUGGGAAUUGACCCUUUCUGACAGGUCCUCAGGAGAGGUGGAUGUUGCUGGUUCAACCUGGAAGAACCCUGAGAAUAGGCUAGGUGUCUUUGGGUUUCUGGAGAUAAAAAUUCGAGGGAUAUUUGCAUGCAGAAGGUUUCUUGGGGAGUCCUCUAGUGAAAAACACCUGCAUAAGAAUGACAUGUAUUCCUCAAGAGGUUCUUUUGUCUCCAGUGUCAGUAUCAGCUUUUGUUAGCCAUAGUCCCACAAGAGAUGUACCUAACAUUAGUAUUUCUAGUUGCAACAGCUGGAGUUGUGGAACUCCUUCAUCAGCUCUUAUGAAUGACUCUCCUUUGAUCUCUAUUCAUAGGUUACAACUUCUGGAGAAUACUUUUCAUUGUUCUGGAGGCUGAGAAGUCCAAGAUCAAGGUGCCAGCAAGAUUAGUGUCUGAUGAGAAACCUUCUUCAUUUCCAAGAGGGCGCCUUGUAGUUGCAUUCUCCAGAGUGAAUAAAUGUCUUCACAUGGCUAAAGAGUGGAAGACCAAAAAGGCGC
rnacentral:lncRNA from 10 species